rnacentral:lncRNA from 1 species
CCGGGACCGAGAUCCAGAUCGAGCCGCCAUUGCGACUCGAAAUGUGGAAGUGCAGCAGAGAUCUAGGGUUUGGUUAUAGCAAUUUAGCGGCUUCGGUAGCGGUCAUUGGUUGGUGAGUGGUAGUGUUGUUGAUAAAUGAUGGAAAUUGCAACUUUUUCACUAUUAUUAUUCCCUGGAAAAUGAUUAGAGAGCAGAAGAAGUUAGGGAGUGUGCAUAUGGUACUUUCCCUUUUUCCUCUUCUUCAAGCAUGUCAUCCAAAACAAAAUAUGGCCCCAGUACACCUGCCCAAAGCCAUUCGAACCGUGAACCAGACCGGUCAAAUCCAUUUUAGCUAAUUUCUUAAUAUUAUAUUUAACUUAUUUUUUUCUUUUUCUUUUUCUUUUUUACCAGCUAAUCUUCUUCUUCUUUUUUUUUUUUUUUUGAAGAAUAUAUUGAACUGAUCUUGAAUCGUAAUUGUCGGUCUAAACCGAAACAACAUUUAAAAAAUUAAAUAAAAAUUUUAAUUUAGAAAAUUAAUUUUUUUAAAACUUGUACUUAAACUUAAUCUACAUAUAUCUAAUGUUAAAAUAUUAUUUAAAUAUUUAGAUAAAUUUAAAUUUAAUUAACACUUAUAAAAAUAACUAAAUUAAAUAAUAAUUUCUACCUAUUGUAAAUUAUAUCAUUAUUAUAAUAAAUAUUGUGAAAAUAUAAAUUAAUGGAUUCGAUAGACUUCAAAUUGACUUAGAGAAAAAAUUUGAGAAUUCUUGAUUUAUAGAAUUUGUAAAAUAAAGAGAAGAAGAAGCUCAGAGGGUGAAUGUCUGAAUCGGCGUUCCAACUCUAAUGCUUAAAAAAAUAACAGGAGAACUAUUUAUUUUUCAUUAAAGUUCUAUAAUAAUUGAUACAUUUAGAAAUAAAUCAUUAAUUAUAUAUUUUUAACUUAAAGAUUUUUUAGAUAUCUGCAACGAAACAACUUAGGAAUCUCAUGUGUGAUAUCUGAAAAACUACUAUGAUGUUCAAGUUAAUAAGUGAGUGAAUAUUUGGAUAAAGUAUAUAAAGAGUUGUAAUUGUGUUACCUGAUCAAUGAGGUACAAUGGAGUAUUUAUAGUAUUAUCUUGUAGGCACAGUCAGGCAUGAGGAAUAGUCUCCGAGAUUGGCAGAAUGGAUCACGAAGUCCUACAUUCUCUAUCAUCAUAAGUGCAUGUCCUUUUACCAAAAAAGGCGAUCUGUUCGGUGGUAGCUUAUUGUGUAGAUUGGCAAUCUUGAGGGGUAACGGACCAGCUAGUCAUAACUAAUUUGGGAGAUCCUGAUUUAGCUAGGUAUGUAUCCAUGACGAAGAUAUU